rnacentral:rRNA from 1 species
UACGUAGGCAGCAAGCGUUGUUCGGAAUUACUGGGCGCAAAGAGUGUGUAGGCGGUGUUCUAAGUCUGGUGUGAAAUCUCCCGGCUCAACUGGGAGGGUGCGCUAGAAACUGGAAUGCUAGAGGAUGGGAGAGGUAAGCGGAAUUCCUGGUGUAGCGGUGAAAUGCGUAGAUAUCAGGAGGAACACCUGUGGUGUAGACAGCUUACUGGACCAUUUCUGACGCUGAGACACGAAAGCGUGGGUAGCAAACAGG